GGUUGUGGCUCAGUGGUGGAGCGCUUGCCUAGCAUGCAGGAGGCGCUGGGUUCGAUCCUCAGCACCA
rnacentral:tRNA from 1 species